rnacentral:lncRNA from 1 species
UGAUGCCAUUUAACUGCCACCUACUCCCAGGCCAUCCAUUCAGCCAUGAAGUCUCUGCUCCUGGUCUUUGCAGCCCUCAGAUUCCUAGCCGAGCUGGCCUCAGGUAAACUGGGUGGAGAAGGGUAAAGGAAGGACAGGAACACUAGCAGAUCUGGCUGCUCUAGUGACAAGCAAGCCAGGUUGGAAGGAGGCAGGGCUCACCCCGCUGAGUUCCAAUCUAAGCUGACCGGGGUGGAACAAGACUUGCACAGAACGACCUGGGAGAGUGCAGUCUGAUAUGCAGCUGGAACGAGUGGCUGACACUUCUGUAUGACAGAUGUCUCAAGAGCCUGAUACAGGGACUUGCAAAGAGUGAAUUAGUGAAUGAAUGAAUGAAUCUUCUCCCAGUUGUAAGUAAACUUAUCCAGCCAUACUGGCCUCCCAGAUAUUCUUCAAGCACACUCCAGACCUACUCCUUUUCCAGGCCUUCGAACCUGUAGGCUCCCUGUUUCACUUUGCUGAGGUCUUUGAUCAACUAUCACCUUAGUGAGGCUUUCUUUGACUACUCUAUUUAAAAUUCCUGGGUUGGAGAUGUCUAUAAAUCAUUUGCCUAGCAUAUGUGCAGCCCUGGAUUCAACCCCCCAGCACUCCAAAAAUAAAAGUUUUUAAAUUUAAAUUUUUCUUAAUUAAAAAAAUAAAAUUGAAAGUACUUACCCCAAG